CACAGACUCAGGACUGGCCAAUCAAAACAUUGCAUUCCUCUGGCCACUGUGAUUGGUGGACAUGUGACUCAAAUCAAGCCCCUCAGAACUAACUUGGGAUGACUAGGAGGAAACCUCUCUCUUUUUUUCUGCUGCCCUUGAACCUCCGGGGUUUGAGGCUGGAGCUGAGCCGCCAGCUUGCCAUCACUAGAACAAGAUGUCUGAGAGGGAAGCCAGCCCAGAGGAUGUGGAACUGAAGGACAAAGAAAGAGAAACUGGGUCCUGAACCAGGUCCUGGAAACACUGCUCAAACCCCUGGAUCCAGCCAUACCUGAAAGCAGUUAUCAUUGGGCUUUCCAGUUACAUGAACCAAUAAAUCUCCCCUUUUGCCCAAGUAAGAAUUGUUGUAGAUAGGACCAGUUGUCACUCAGGGAGUCUGCCAGUGUCCCAUGGGGGGUCAUCUGCAGGGCAGGGCACCAGCCCUUGUCAGAAGCUCAGAGUGGUUCCAGGGGAACUCUGACUGAAAGCCAUGGACAAACAGGCUCCAUAUUUGCUUUCCUUGCUCCUGGCUGCUGAGGCAGGGCAUGGGAUCAUGACUCCACCAAUCAGACGCUGCCCCAGCUUUGACUCAAACAAGUGAUGAGAAGGGGCGGGUGAUUCUCUUCAGUGGCAGCAGCAGCAGGGAGUAUCCAGGGCCGGCAGGGAGGCCCACGGUCCAGACCGUCCUGUGGCAGGACUAGGGGGCCGGCGUCCAGCUGCAUCUCUUGGCCGCUGCCCAGUUUUCAAGCCUGGUUUUUGGUCUGCGAGGCUGCUCUGAGCCCCCUGCAUCCAUUCCAGAAGUUCUGCAGGUCGAGUUGGUGUCUGUUGCUAGGAAGAUGGACAGAGAAGCCACCGCCCCCUGUGCCCUCAGGGAGGGGCUGGGGUCUGGGGGCAGCUGGGUAAACGCGGGAAGGGAGCCGGCUUGGGGCUGGCAGACUCCCUGAGCGGGCACCCCGAGGAUUGUCAGGUGCCCCUCGAAGCGCCUGGCUGAGCGCCAGGCACAUUUUUAGGGCUUGAAAAUCAGCGACAGGGAGCAAUCUGCCCAUGGGCACCGGCCUUGUGCCCAGCCCUGGGGGCUGGAGAGUGUGUGUGUGUGUGCGCGCGUGUGUGCAUACGUGUGUGUGUGUGCGUGUCUGAGGAGGGGCGGGGGCACUGAAGGAGUGGACACUCCGCUCCCUGCCAGGCCAGUCAAGGGGUCGGGGCUGACCCCAGCAAGCGUGGGCAGGAGACCUGCCUUGAACACGUCUGGUCACAGGAGGGCCUCAGACGCCCACCUGGGGCUGGCCCGCCCUGAGCCACCUGCAGCCCAGAGUGAGCGGUGGGCCGAGACGUGUUGGACUCUGGCAGCAACAUGGACAUGGAUCAGCUGCGAAGUGGGCCGGCUGCAUGGCACGCCGUGUACCCACCUGAGGCUGCUUGUUCAAGAAGGCAUGAAAUCCAGGGGUCAAAUGCAAGGGCUUUGCAACUAAACUUGGUUCUGUCCUGGCGCUGCCAGUCUCCGGCUGUGUCGCAAGCCCUGGGUGGCUGCCGGCGUCUCCCCCGGCCCGUUGCCUGUGAUGUCAGGAGGUCGUCCUGGUUAGAUAGACAUGAAACACUCGGCGCCUGUCAUGUGACAAGGACACAAUUUAUUACUCUUAUUGUAAAAUAAACAUAACAACGUAAAUGUAUUAAUUUAUUACUUGGUCUUUAUUAAUACAAGCCCGGGUCCGGCCCGGUGGCACAGCGGUUAAGUGUGCACGUUCCGCUUCGGCGGCCCGGGGUUUGCCGGUUCAGAUCCUGGGUGUGGAGAUGGCACCGCUCGGCAAGCCAUGCUGGUGGCAGGCGUCCCACAUAUAAAGGAGAGGAAGAUGGGCACGAUGUUAGCUCAGGGCCUGUCUUCCUCAGCAAAAAGAGGAUUGGCAGCAGAUGUUAGCUCAGGGCUAAUCUUCCUCAAAAAAAAAAAAAAAACUUUAAUACAAGCCCACAUAUGUUCAUUUAUUAUGUGUGCUACUCCGUUGAUUUCCACAAACAACUCAGUGGAGGACAGGCUCUUGGUCCCAUCCUCCAGAUGGGGAAACUGAGGCUCAGGGAGGUCCCGCAGAACCAGGGUUCAGAAUCUCAGCCAGAUCCAGCCGGCCCCAAAGUCCAACCUCUUCCCUUCUCUGCUCGCCCCGCGGCCCCCGGUGGGCUGGCCAAGGGCGCUCCCGCAGGCCGUUGGCUGGCCCUCAGCCAGUGGGGACCCGGCAUGGCCCAGAAGGUGUGGGCCAGGUCAGAAACCCGCCUGCCGCCCCCGACGAGAAGCCCACAGCCCCGGUGGAUCCACUGUGGCUUUUAGGGGACGCUUUGCCUCGUCUCAUUCUCAACAUGCCAGGGCUGUGGAAGUGACCGUGCCCACGGGCAGCCCAGGCCGGGGCUCUGCCAGGGUCCCCAGCGUGACCUUCCUAAGCCGGAUCCAGUUACAUCCCAGCGGCCGCUAAGGAGCAAACACAGCUUGCAUCGUCCUCCAAGUGCUCACUUCCUUUGUCCUGUGAACACUCAAAAAUGAAAGGAAUGAUGAGGAUCUGGGGGUGGAGGGGGGCGGAGGAGGGCAGGGAAAUUCUGCAGCGUCGGCCUCACUCGCCGAGAGGGCGGCGUGAGGAGUUCGAAACCGAGUCCAAAGAAAGAGAAACUCAAGUGGUGACACGGCAGGCCCCAGGGGUCCAAGGCCUCCUUGAUCCCUGGCUCCCACUGUGGGUUAAGGGCCCAGCCCUGGGGACAGAAGCCUCAUAUCCAGCCUCUGCUGCUGGCCCCUCCGUGGUCAGGCCACUAAACCUCCCUGGGCCUCGGACUUCGCUCUCCAACGCCAGGAACGCCGGCUCCCGCUGCCCUGGGGUGUGAUGGAAAAGGAAGGAGAGACCGUGUGGAGACCAGCGGUUCUCGACCCACCAGGACAAGCUGGCUCCCUGGGGGUCAUUUGCGGCAACAUCUUUGGUUGUCGCAACCAGGAGGGGACGGCACUACUGGCAUCUGAGGUCUGCCCCGCUUCAUUCAGAAUGCGAUGUCGACCUGGUGUCGCCUGUGCCACGCACGCUUGCCGAGCUGAGUGAGGGUGGACCCAGCCCCGUGCCCGUGGAGCGUCUGGUCCAGAGCGAGAGAGACUCAGACAGAUCAAGAGAGCAAGCGCACAGUGACGGCCCCGAUAUCCUUCACGAGUGCGGCCUGUGUCAACAAACCGGGGGACCCAACGGUGGAAGGUUGCGCAGCCGGGAAAAGGCCCGGAGUUCUGACCCCCGCCGCCCCUUGGAGGAGGAACCCUGAGAACGUGGUGCCGAGUGACAGAAGCAAGACGCAGAAGCCCACAUCGUGGGGGUACGUUCCCAAAGAUGUUCGUGGUCACAGUUGCACUGCCCUGUGGACACACCGAGCGCCACUGAACUCUACUCUGUGAAGGGUGAAUUAGGUCGCAAUAAAGCUGUAAUGUACAAGAAUAAUAGUUGCUGCUCUCUUGCCAGCUCAUCCGGGAUGGGGGCUCUUCGAGGGCCCUGCCUGGGAGGGCUGCCGUCCACCCGAGGGCAUCCACGGGCCCAGAGCAGCUCCCCAGCAGGGCAGUGGCCGGCCUGCCACCCCCAGCAGGGCCUUCCCUGGGGAUUUCUCUGGUCAUUUUCUUUCCGAGCCUCAGAGAGACUGGGGUGCGAAGGGCCUGCCCAGAGCCAGCAA
ensembl:lncRNA